GAAGACUCUCUUCUCUCAACUUUUGCUUUUCUCUAUCUCUCUCCUCUCCAUCUCCUAACUUUUUCCCCUUUCUCUUCUCCCUGAAGCCUUCCUCCAUUCCUCGCCUCCCUCUCGCUCCCUUGUUCUAGGCCCAUCCUCACGCUCUCUCGCCUCCGACUCGCCCUCCCCCCUGCGCGGCCUUUUGAUUUCUCGCUCGAUUUGGAGAAUUAGCUUAACCUGGAGGACUACCCGCAUCUGUGAGAAGUAACCCUUCGAUUUCUCGCUCAAUCUCUCGUUCGAUUUGCAAGAGUAGCCGCACUUGUAGAAGGUGAGCUUUGAAAUUAUUUUCCAAAAGAUUUUAGUAUUUCUACUUUUAAUUAAAAUUUUCUCCCCAACAUUUUUUUUCCAAUAUUUUAGUUCUUGUAUUAUUUUUUUGCAAUAUUUUAGUAAUUCUAAUUGUAAUUAAAUUUUGCAUUUUAAUUAUGUACUUGUUGCCUCGUGUCCUCUCGCUCAAUAACCCCUCUACAGCUCUUCAAUCUCUUACUCGAUUGACAGACUAGAUGUAUAUCUAGAAAGUGAUCUUUUGAAAAAAAAAAAAUCUAAGAUUUUAGUUUUUCUAUUUGUAAUUAAUUUUUUUCCCCAAAAUUUUGUUUCUAUCUCUGUAAAAUGCUUGAUCUAGUGUAUAGAACUAUAGAUUGGGUUGAUUGUGAUAUGGAUGUGAAUAGUUUUGAGAAUUUAUGAUCUAUGUAUGAAUUGUAUGGUUUCAUUUUCUAUUAUGUGCUUAUGAUUUUUUUUUGAUAAUUCAUAAAUGGAAAAGAGGAAGAAUGCAAGAAAUGGCCAAUCACAUAUAAUCUUAUGCUAUUGUAGAAAACAAGCAAUUAUUAGAGUUUCUCAUACCCGUGCUAAUCCUGGAAGACCAUUUUAUGGUUGUGUUAACUAUGGAAAAAAUUCUCAUACCCGUGCUAAUCCUGGAAUACCAUUUUAUGGUUGUGUUAACUAUGGAAAAAAAUCUAAUGAAAAUCAUUGCGAAUUUUUUAAGUGGUGCUUUUCAGAUUUUAUUGCGUCACAAGUGAAUUGUUCUUAGGUUAUGUCGUGUGGAAAUACAUCUAUAGCAAUACAAACUGAAGAUUCUCCAAUUGAUGCUGUUAUCCUAUCAUCAAGCAAUAGAAUAGAGGAGAUAAGAUUAAGCAAUGAGAUAAAAGAGCUGAGAUUUUUAAUGAACAAUGAAUUUUGGAGGAGUAAGUCCUAUUUGGGGAUACUGUUUGUAUUAGUAGCAAUGUUAUACAUGAAGGUAUUUAUAUGAUUUGGGUGUAUUAGAUGAUUAGAAGUUAAACAUGUCAGUUACUUUGUGAUAAAUUGAUAAUAUAUAAUAUGACAAUAUGUAUUAUGGCUUUGUGUUUGUACUAAAUGUCUUGAAUGUUCAAUCUAUAUUAUGACAUUUUGCUACUGUGUGAGAUUGGAUCCUUAUAGUUCAUUUGUAUUCUUGUAGUUUAUUUGCUACUUGUAUACUCAUCAAAUAGUGAAUACAAAGAUAUAUCAAAAGCUUGAAUAACAUUCAAGUGGAAUAACUUUUUACUUUUUAAUAACUACAACAUACAAAAAAGAUUGUAAAUAUAAAGAUACAUUAAAAGCUUGAAUAACAUUCAAGUAGAAUAGCCUUUUACUUUUUAAUAACUAUAACACACAAAAUAGAUUGUAAAUACAAAGAUACAUCAAAAGCUUGAAUAACAUUCACGUGGAAUAGCCUUUUACUUUUUAAUAACUGCAACACACAAAAUAUAUUGUAAAUACAAAAUAUACAUCACAUGCAUGAAUAACAUUCAAGUGGAAUAGCCUUUUACAUUCUAAUAACUGCAACACACAAAAUAUAUUGUAAAUACAAAGAUACAUCAAAUGCUUGAAUAACAUUCAAGUGGAAUAGGCUAUUCCACUUGAAUGUUAUUCAUGCAUGUGAUGUAUAUUUUGUAUUUACAAUAUAUUUUGNUAAUAACUGCAACACACAAAAUAUAUUGUAAAUACAAAGAUACAUCAAAUGCUUGAAUAACAUUCAAGUGGAAUAGGCUUUUACAUUCUAAUAAUUGUAACAUACCAAAUAGAUUGAAAUUGAGUUACAUCAAAAAGCCUGCAUUGGCAUUAUAAUGUACACAGGGUUACAUUUGGUAAAAAUGAACAGCACAUGUAUAACAACAUCUCCACCAUGAAGAACGCUCACUAAACCUUAUCGUACUCUUAAAUAGCUGCAUCAUGAUCUUUUUCUCCCGAUAAAAGUUGCAAUCAAAGAAUCCAAAAAUAUUAUAAGAUUGACUAAAACAUAUGAUAUUCAAUAUAAGUAAGUAGCUACAAAUAGCAUUACUUCUCUGCAAGUUCGGAUAUUGUGUCCUUUCUUUUUACAGUGUUGGCAUGUUCUAGCUUUUUUCACUGCCUUUUUAACAGGAGGCUUAUAUCUCUGUGGCUUUCUUUUUCCUUUACAUUGGAAUUGCAGAGGAUUCUUCAACUUGACAAACCCAACACUAUUUGCUUGUGAAAAAAUAGUAGCCGUGUGAUGCUCCACAAUAUUUUCACUUUGAUCUUGUUUCUCUUUCAAAGAUUCAUAGAGCUUGAUAUUCUCAUCAACAAGUUUAUUGAUUUUCUAACAAGCCAUUUCAUAAUUCUCAAAAGUCUUGGAUACCUGAAAUAAAAGUUUUUGCAUUUUUAGUGUAAGUGCAUUAAGUCUUGCUCCUUUGCAUUUGCGGAGUCACCUGUUAACAUACUUUGAAAAUUAAUGCUUGGGGAUCCUUUUUUUGCAUCUUUAGUUCACAUUUUAUAAUGUAGUGGGAAGGAAUUUUAUGCAUUCGACUGUGAAGCAUAACUUUUAAUGUAUAUGAACAUAUAAGGCCACUAAAUUCAAAAAAUUUGCAACUGCAAUUCACUUUUUCCAUAGGUGGAUUUAUAGUAACUAUAAAUGAGUUUAUACCUUAGGCGGUAAGGUAGAGUUUUGUAUUGUGCUAAUCUUGUAGCAAUUGUUCGCCAACUCUGUCAAAUCAUAUCCUAUCGUAUAUUGAAAUUGAUUCUUAAAUUCUGAAAAUACUCAUUUUGUGUUUACACUACGAGCUUGUAUUUCAAUAGGAUUAUGUGACCAUAAACUAGAUUCAUCAUCUCUCGACCGAAAGUCUGCUUUAUACUCCUUAUCAUGGAGACUACUAACCACGUUUUCAAAUUGUAUUACAAGCUUGCAUAAUGAUGUAUGAUUAUUCAUAAACAUUUUCGUUAGAGCAUUCAUACUCUCACUGCGUUGCGAAGUGGUCAUUUCAGCAAAGAAUGUAUCUCUAAAGUAAGUAGGUAGCCAUUGAUGCUGAGCAUUUCACAUAACAUUUAGGUGGUUGUUAUCUUGCAAUCCAUAUUUUUAAAUCAUUAUAAGCCAUCUACUUUCAAACUCCUCGAUUGUUAUGCUAUCAUUAAUGCAUAAAAAUAACUCUUUUUUAAAACCUUCCUACGUGCUAUAAAGGAUACUGAAAUGUUCCUGCGCUCUCUUCAUAAUGUCCUACUAACAAUAUCUAUGCACCGUACGUGUUUGGAAAAGCUUGUUCGAUUUCUUUCCUCAUAGUUGGAUCUUGAUCAGUUAUGAUUGAUAUAGGAUGUUUCUCAUAAACUGCUUGAAGCCAAGUUCUAAAUAGCCAAACAAAAGUAUUAGAAGUUUCAUCCCCAAUGAGAGCACAACCGAAAAUUACAGACUGAAGAUGAUGAUUUACUUAAUGAACAGAGCGAAAGGCAUGGAAUACUUAUUUGUCAUAUAUGUUGUAUCAAAAGUAACAACAUCACCGAAAUUUUGAUAUGCCAUUCUCGAUCUCCCAUCUAUCCAAAAUACGUUGCGUACCAUGUUUUGCUCAUCAACUUCAAUAGUAUAAAAAAAGAAGGAUCUCUAGCUUGGCGCUCACGAAAAUAAUUGAUGGUACUAGAUAUAUAAAUCUUCGAUUACUUAGGUCCUUUCUAGUAAAGUUAAUAUUUUGUGCUCCUCCUUCUCUUACUGCUAUAAAUGAUAUAAUUUGAGUUGUUGAGAUAUUCUACUCACUCAGCAUAUGAAUUUUUUUUUUGUUCGGCUGUUAUUAAACGAUGAGACCAAAGAAAACGGCUUUAGAGGGACUUGCAACUAAAGCACUGUUAUGUUUCCUCACAAAUGCAACAACUUUCCAGUUGCCAUCAUUUGUCCUUUUUACCCUCAAAUGUGCCUUGCAACCUGUUCAUGUGUACCGCAUAUGUUUGUUUGGUGUCCCUUUAUUCUCUUGAUCCCAAACUUUUGGUUUGGAUUGCCCUUCUUUAGAACAAACAUAGUGUAAUGCUAUAACUAUAUUAUCUUUUUUUUCUUGGCUUUGUAGUGGGUAGCUUUUCUUAUACUAAAGCCAAUUUUAUAGGCAUACAAAUUGUAAAAUCUCUUUACUUCUUCUUCAUUCUGAAGAAGUUGUCCAAUAAACGGCUCAUGCUGUGAUGAUUCCAUGUUGCAUUGACUAAUAGAAUCCUUUUCAUGUUGGCUUCGUUCAUGCGUGAAAGAAUCAAAAUCUCUACUUUGAUUUAUCCCAAUAUCACUUGAGGGAUAUUCAGACUCUUCUCUAUAAUUGGAUCUAUUUUCUAGAGCAUCUAAUGUCACGCCCCGGGACCCGGCGGAGGCCCGCCCGGUGCGUGUUCAGACCCGCCAUAUGCUUGCACAUAUAAGGCGUCUAACAACAAUAGAAUAUGAAAGUAAGGAAAAUAAAACAACUAGAGAUAUCAGAGCAAGAGUACAACUAAUUCCAAUCACAAGUAGUAUGCAAAGAAAGAUAAACCACUAGUAAAACAUAAGGUAAUACAACAAUAAGCCUCUAGAUACAAGUACUAGAUAUACAAAAAUGGUGGUCUCUAUACACGGGUACAACUCACUCUCUCUCCAACUAUACAAAAGAAGAGAUAACUACCUAAAAGAAGAGAUCCCUGCGAUCUAGCUAGACGCGACUUCCUUGCUGCGAUUCCUAGCCUCUCCCGGUGUGGAUGGCUUUGAAAGAAAACAUCAAACAUGGGACGUGAGAACUAUAAUUAAUAGUUCCCAGUGGACAAUUACUGGCCUUAGCAAAAAUGCACCACUAGGCCCUAAAGCAAAGUAGAUAAUUCUAACAUUUAAUUGGAAACGAUAGCAUGAAUAUUAGAAUAGGAAAUAAACUUGUUAGCUACUAUGCUGCUACUUAACAGGAAGUUCCAAAAUUGCAAUAGCUAGUCUAACAUGAAUAAGUAUAUAACAUGAAUAUACUAGUAUGCUCUAACAUGUCCAACAAGUAUACUAUGAUGCAACAAGCAACACUAUCAAGUAUACUACAUGUCCAAGUAAGUCAACUAAAUGUCCAGUACUAUGCCACAAGCAUGUUCAAGAAAUCCAACUAUUAUAAACUAUCUAGUAGUGAUUGCCAUAUUAUGGUUUAAUGUCAAUAUCCAAUCUCAUUUUAGGACCUACACAAGUGUAGCACAGCUUGUGCCGCCUAAUGGCCCCAGGUAGUCCAGCAUUCUCUAGGAAUGUGACUGUCCCACGGUGACCCAGUAGGCCCUCAAUCCCGCAAGGGCGAGCAUAAGUCAUGUAGGCCAACUCCGGAGUGCUGGCUUGUAGGGAGCGACCCUCAUAAGUAUGUGCAAAUGAGCACAAAUGGCAAACAAGUAUAGUCAUCGUCUCAAGAACUCGGUCAUCAUGUCUAUAACAUGUAAUAAUCACUAGCAACCCCAAGGUCUAGUUCUAUGUCUCAAAGUAAAGGUUUAGCAUUCAUUGUGUCCAAUGCCCUUUUUAUAGUAUUAGUGUUCACAAAGCCCAACAAUUUCCAAGCUCAAUGCCCUUUUAUGACAUUGUAGCUUACUAAGUUCAUGCAUACACCAAUUUCAAUGCCACUUUAUGACAUUGUUAUCCGCUAUGUCCAAUAUGAGUUCUAAGUUCAAGAGCUUAUUAUAUAAGUCAUGUCAUUGCAAGAAACAUAAUUCCAAACCAUUAAAUAGAAUGCUAACCAUAUGCAAGCCUACAAUGCACAUAUCUCUCUCUACUACAUAGAGGUAAUUUUUUCAUCAUACAUAACAUAUGUAUUUUAAGCAUUCCAAACAUCUCGUAUGCUCUAUCUAGCAUGAAUAUGCAUGCAUUUCUAUUUUACGGCAAUUAAAAAUCGACAUAGGUGGAGUUUUUCCAUUUUCGAUAAGGUCAAACCCACCAAAACUCCUCGGAACCCUUCGUUCGCACAAAAGGAGAUGUCCACUAGCCUCCUAUCUCCCUAAAGGUUAAAUUAGGAGAGUUAAACGCAACGAACGAACACUAAUAGGCUCAAACAUUAACUAACCCAAGAAAAUGGCGAAAACUCACCUUGGAUGGUGAAAUUCUCUCUCAAACUCCAAAUGAGAGUAAGAUCCCUUCAAAUCCCACCUAAACAAAGGUUCUAAACCAUUCAAUUGAAAUCCAAAAGCCUCUAAUCAAAAAUCCCCAAAAUAAACCCUAAAUCUCACAUUCUAGG
rnacentral:lncRNA from 1 species